AGGAGUAGUCUGGGGAUGCAGGAGAAAGUGAGAGGAGACAUCGCUGGAACAGCUGACCUAAGUUGACCUAAGGGAUACCCCAUACCAUAUUAUGUCAUUCUCAGCAAUAAAAGAUGGGGGAGAAAAGGAGGAAGGAGGUGAUGUUCUGAAUACAACAUCUGAUUGCCCAAAACUGUUUGUCCCUGCUAUGCUACAGUGUGGUGAGUUCCACAUUCCUUGAAAUGGCUGAUCAUCUGCCUAGCAAUGAGAGCAAGUUGCUGUGUGGUGCUGAGCUGCCUACUGGAGUUAAGCUACAACAGUCCUUUAGGGAACCCAGGGUACCUACUAGAAAGAUGUAAGGACAAUAUAUUAAUCAUAAUGACAUAACAUUGAAAUGAAGGUCUGUCAAAAGAAGGGGAGUAAGACACUGUGUAAUUUGUCUUGCACAAGUGAAGUCCAGCCUUCUGGUAUCUGAAGAUAUUUAAAAACUACAGAAAAUAAAACAAUUCCCUCUACCACUGUUUGGAAGAACUUGACACAGAUGAAUAAACAGCAUAAAGGAAUGUAUGAGUAUGUCUGGGUGAAACACUCUCAAGAUUUAGGUCAAAAUAAGCUUGAAAAUUCACUUGAUGCAUUUGAAAAUCCAUGUUGAGUAGAAAUGAAUCAAUAGUAAGUACAGGAAAUAACACAUCAAGAUGUAUCAAGCUUGGGUUUCUACAACUCCAUUCUAUAAUAGAUCUAUUGCCUGCAAACUUGGAGAGCUACCAGCUGCCUGUUUUCAAGACAAGCAGACCAGGCUUCCCACAAGCUGACAGCACAAUUUAGCAACAGCAUGGAUAUAAUCUUCAGAAAAAAGACUAAGCAGUUUAAUACUUAUUUCAGGACAUAUUUGAGUCUGAAUUGUUUAUUUUAUUAUUAUUUUCCUCCUGACCCAGUUUUUUUAAUGACAUUUUUGUUUCCAGAGGUUCAAUGUUAGACAAAAUACAAACAUAAAAGAUAAAACAGAAGCUCACCACCACUUAUUUUUGGUUAAAUGAAUUAUUGUCUUUUAAAAACCAAGCAAUAGUCCACAAUGCCACUCAGUCAUCAACAAUCAUUUGUUCCUUCACUUAUUCUUAAGGAGGAUUCAUUUCCCACUGACAUUAAUGACUAAGCUGCAGCAGUUUUCAAGGAAAAUAAAAGCAGGUAUCUUUAGCAUCCAGGAUGUCAUAUGUAUUGAAAAUGUGGAAUGAAAAAAGAUAUUUCAAUCAGAAAAAAAAUCUAGCCAUAAAUAUAAUCCAAAAAGUAUACUAGACAUCUAUCCAUCAAAACCAAACAAAAUCACCGUCUAUGAUAAUUUUUGCCUUGUCUUACUCCAAUACAGUUUUUCCCAUUUCCUUUGUUUCUGCUGAUUAAUAAAAAGAUAGAGAUUAAAUGAACAUAUUUUUUUUUACUAAAAGAGUCUUGAGAUUCCCUUAAGCCCAUAAGUAUUUUGAAUUUUCUCAUUUAAAAACUUUUAUUAAAAUACACCAAGGAUUAAUAGGAAGUGCCACACUUGCAACAAAAAUUUCAGAUGUUUGAUUUUCUUUCUUCAUAUUUAUAAUUGUUUUGUAAAGGAAAUAGCAUAGAUAUUGCAUAUCUAUGAUAUAUCUAUAUUUUUUGAAUAUUUUUUAAAAAAAUAUAAUACUUUGUAUCAUUAUAUGUAAAAUAGUUAUUUAUUUUACAACUACUACUGAAUAUAGUAGUUCAAAUUACACAAUAAUUAAGCUUGGUAGGAGUAUAAGCAUAGUAAAUAUUUUGUUUCCUCUGUCAUUUGCUUGAGUUAAUGUUCAGCAUAACUUUUCCACUACACUGUUUCA